GCUAGCGGGGAUAGCUCAGUUGGGAGAGCGUCACAUUGAAGAUCUGAAGGUCACGUGUUCGAUCCAUGUUCACCGCAUUC
rnacentral:tRNA from 1 species